CCAACCCCCUGGAGAAACCCCCCCCAGGAAGUCCCUCCUUGUGUCUAACCCAGAUCUCCCCAACCACAGCUUCAAUGAUUCUCCAACAGCAAGGUCAGAGACUCCUUGGAGCUCCCUCAGUGCUCGUUCACAGCUCAGCGAGGGACACCGAGGCUCGGGAAGAGGUGGCGACUCGGCCAAGACCAAGGAACAGAGCCAGGCCUCCUGCAGACCCAGGGCGCCUGUCAUGGCAGCAGCUCCUUCCCUGGCCUUCCACAGAAAACACCAGACCCUGAGCCCAGCCAUUUCCAAGGCCUGUACCUCCUGCUGACUGCUCACACCCAAGCCACCCUCCUGAACUCAAAGGAACAGCACACCUGUGUGGCCCUGGCACUGAGAAAAAGAGCCUGCAAGCCAGAAGAACCAAGUUCAGGUCUCUCCCGCGGUUUGACCUCAGACAAGUGUCUGCACCUCUCUGGACUUCUGCUUUCCCAUUUGAACAAUGUAAAGAUCAAAUCGGAUGGUUUCUGAGAACAGGCAUGGAGGGAUUGAGCCCUCACUGUGGCCAGGCUCUGGGACCAGUGCUGGAGAUCUCGCAAAGGAUGCCGUGAAGGAGAGGCCAGAGGCAAGAUGGUAGAGAGGGUGCCUGUGCAGCCCCCCAGGGACAGGACCGCACCAAGAGGGGGCAUGGGGGAGGGGAAGACAAGAGAAAUGGUGGCAAGAGCCUGGUGACCGAUUGGCACUAGAGCUUCAGGGAAAAAGAGGUGUUCAGGAGGACAUCUAGGUUCCUGGCUUGAUGCUGGCGAUAAUACGCAGGGAAGGAACGAGGGAUGGGGAGCAGGAUGGGGUAGGUGGCAUUCAAAUUUGGACUCACUGUGUUUGGUCUAUCUCAGUGUCAGGCUCUGCGUGCAGCUAGAUACACAGAGAGGGGUCCGGGCCAGCCCGUGCCCCAGCCCUGGGAAAGGCCAUAGCAUAGGGUCACUUUUCCCUGUCCCUUUACUCCAAAGCCUAUAGCCUCCAUAUCUAGGGAGUUUUCCUAAUCCUCAGAAUGGUGAAUGUCCAUUCAUUGCUCAAGGCCCGGCUCUGUGUCCCCAGGGAAGCAUCCUCUGACACACCUCUUCCUCUUUCUGUCCUCUAAGGAAACUCCUAUGCCACCCCUGGUCACAGCAGGCAGCAUGCUGGAUUGUGUGGUCCCUCUCUCUCCCUUAUUAGGCUGCGAGCAUCUUGGUCAUUCACAUAUCCCCAGGGCAGAGCGCAAGAUCUGGCAUAUAGAAGGCACCCAGCAAAUGUUGGUUCAUUGAAUAAAGAAAUGAAUGAGU